ensembl:snRNA U6 U6 spliceosomal RNA
GUGUGUACCCACUUUGGCAUCUCUUACAUUCUAAAAUUGAAACAAUCCAGAGAUUAGCACGACCCUAGCAUAAGGAUGACACACAAUUCUUGAAGAAUUCUAUAUUUUU